GACGAACGCUGGCGGCGUGCUUAACACAUGCAAGUCGAACGGAAAGGCCCUGCUUUUGUGGGGUGCUCGAGUGGCGAACGGGUGAGUAACACGUGAGUAACCUGCCCUUGACUUUGGGAUAACUUCAGGAAACUGGGGCUAAUACCGGAUAGGAGCUCCUGCUGCAUGGUGGGGGUUGGAAAGUUUCGGCGGUUGGGGAUGGGCUCGCGGCUUAUCAGCUUGUUGGUGGGGUAGUGGCUUACCAAGGCUUUGACGGGUAGCCGGCCUGAGAGGGUGACCGGCCACAUGGGGACUGAGAUACGGCCCAGACUCCUACGGGAGGCAGCAGUGGGGAAUAUUGCACAAUGGGCGGAAGCCUGAUGCAGCAACGCCGCGUGCGGGAUGACGGCCUUCGGGUUGUAAACCGCUUUCGCCUGUGACGAAGCGUGAGUGACGGUAAUGGGUAAAGAAGCACCGGCUAACUACGUG
rnacentral:rRNA from 1 species